rnacentral:rRNA from 1 species
GAUGAACGCUAGCGGUGUGCUUAAAGCAUGCAAGUCGAACGUGAUCUCUUGGAUUCGUCUGAGGGUGAAAGUGGCGAACGGGUGAGUAAUGCGUUGGUGAUCUGCCCCGGAGUGGGGAAUAACUAUUGGAAACGAUAGCUAAUACCCCAGAUGUCCUCGUGUUUGGAAAGCGAUGACUAAAGUUCAGGCGCUCCGGGAGGAGCCGACGUCCCAUCAGCUAGUUGGUAGGGUAAUGGCCUACCAAGGCAUAGACGGGUAGGGGGCGUGAGAGCGUGACCCCCC